GGAACUCUAGAGAGAGAGGUAGUUUGGCAAUGAAAAAAACCAUAGGUCCAGGAGACCUUCAUGUAAUAGAUGCCCUCCCUGCACAGAUGCUGAAGGUCCCUGAAGUCCUGCAGUAGCAGUCACUGACUACAGCUCCACAGUGACCAGGAAGUGCUUCCAAGAGCAGCUUCACCGCACUACAAAAAAAGCUAUCCCCAGUGUACAGACUCAAAGACCUGCCGACAUCCGAGUGCCUUAAGGUUCAACACACAGAAGCUGUGGUCAGAAGGGAGCUAAGGCUGGCUGUACCUGUGCUGGCAACCAAACUUGGCGAUCUGUAAGAGUUUCCAAGGUGGUGCUGGUUUUGAAGGUAUGAAGGAGUUGUGGAAAGCAGCUGAGGCUUGGCACUGUGAAGUCAUCGGUGAAAAUGCACCCCAGCUGCAGAGACCCUGCAUUUUGAAGAUGCUAACAGCAUCUGCUGGAGCCUAGGAGGUGAGCUGUGUGUGCUGUGGCGAAGCCUCUGAGCCUCCAUGUGUGUCCCACAUGUCUGGGACGGUUUUGCCUGCAUAUCUGAGUGAGAGUGUCAGGUCCCCUGGAACAGGAGUUACAAACAAUUGUGAGCUGCCAUGUGGGUGCUGGGAAUUGAACUCUGAUCCUCUGGAAGAGCUGUCAGUGCUCUUUACCACUAAGCUAUCUCUCCAGUCCCCGACUUUGAACUUCUAAAGAGACUUUGGAAUUUUAGAGAGACUGUGAGCAUUUUAGAGACUGAUUAUUUUAGAGAGACUUGAACUUUGAAAGACUUUGAAUAGAUAAAAAGACUGAACUUUUAAAGAGAUUGAGUUUUUAAAGACUAUGGGACUUUUAAAUGUCAGACUGUUUUAUUUUGUGAUAUUAAUAUGAGAUCUUGGGGUGAACAAAAAAGGAAAAAUUAUGGUUUAACACUUUGUUUUAGUGACAAAUUGUCAAGGACUGAGUUGUGCUGGCUAGUUAUACUUGACCUAGUUUGGAAGAAAGAGCCUCAGCUGAGAAAAUACCCCACUAGAUUGCCCUGUGACAAGCCUGUGGUGCAUUUUCUUGACUAAUGGUUAAUGUGGGAGAGUCCAGCUCCUGUGCAAAGUGCCAUCCCUGGUCAUGUGGUCUCGGGAUGUACAAAAAAGCUGCUGGUGGCACUCGCCUUUAACCCCAGCACUCGGGACAGCCUGAUCUAGAGAGCAAGUCCAGGACAGCCACAGCUGCACAGAGAAACCCUGCCUCUUAAGAAAAGAAAAGAAAAGAAAAGAAAAGAAAAGAAAAGAAAAGAAA